UAUCUGUUUGUAACCAAAAUAAUUUGUAAACUUAAAUGAAGACAUAAGUGUAUUGCACAGACAUCUCUGGCUUUCAGAUUCUAAAGGGUAAAUAUCUGGUAAGUGACACCUGAAAAUUGACUAUGAGCUACUUAAUAAAUGAAUGAAAAUUUCCCAAGGUAUGUUGAUACUUAUGGAAUUCAGUGGCCUCAUUCUUAGAAACAGGGUGUAUUGGAUGACCCAUCAUUGAAAACUGAAGUAUGCAAUUGAUAUUCAAGUGGGUCAGAACAAAGAGUGUGAAGCUGAAACACAAAAGCAAAAUGGCCCCUGUUUGCAAUCAUGGUGUAAAGAAUUCAUGAGUAUAGAGGGCAUUUUUGUUUUACUUCUUCUGUAAGUUUUAACAUUUUCAAAAUAAACGAGAAAAGAGAACAUCUGAUUUGAUCUUCACAGAGACACAGGGUUAUCCAGUGUCGAGCAAAACAGUCGAAAACAGUGGUUCUUAACCUUCCUGUUAAACACCCCAGGGUCACUUACCAGAUAUUUACAUUAUGAUUCAUAACAGUAGCAAAAUUACAGUUAUGAAGAAGUAAUGAAAAUAACCUUAUGGUUGGGGGUCACCACAAUAUGAGGAACUGUGUUAAAGGGUAACAACAUUAGGGAAGGUUGAGAGCCACUGAUCUAAAAGAAGAGAAAGAUUCAUUAGGCUGCAUGCUAGACCUUUCUACCAACCCACCUGGCUUGGCAUUUACCCCCAUAUCCUAUCCAGUUAACAGGCUCAUCCCUUCAGUGUUUCCUAGGCCUUGAGACCUCUUGUCAGCACCUGCAGCUCCCUCCCUCCCUCCCUCCCUUCCUCCCAGUUUCCCUUUCUUCCCUUCUUUUGCCAGAAAUCCCACCCUGCAUCCCCCUGUGCUGCUUCACAAGUUCCUCUAGGGAUUGCUUCCAUCAGGGGUCCCAGGUGACUUGUUUUGCUCAACCUUUGCCCCUGGCCUAUAUCUUUGACUCCCCAGGUGUGUCUGCUCUCAGCUUCAAGCUUCCCUCCCCCAUCUAAUUAAACCCAAGUGGUGCCACCUGGCCUUUUCCUUCCUUGUUGGGCCUCUCAGUCUGGUCUCUUUCCCCAGGUUCCUUCUAUCUCUGCCCUUGCCUGCCCUCCCUUUUCUGAGGGUGCCUGUGGGUCUCCAGGUGUCCAGUCUUCAGCUGUCACUGGAGUGGGUGAUGGCCUUUGAAGCAAGCAGGAAGGCCUGCUCCUCCAGGCGCUGGUCUCUUCACAGAUACCCUGACAGAUAGGUGGAUCUUCCUUGCCCCUCACAGCCUGAAUACCAAAUUGGUGGCUCUUGCCACCACACUCAUUCCCACCCUUGCUUUGACUCUUCAUAGUCUCACUUGAGAGUUAAUGCCAAAACAUAACCCUGUCAUUUCUCCUUAACCCAGGCCCUGCCAAACAACGCAGACUGUUAACUAUGGAGGGUGUGAUUUUUGUUCUCUGUUCAAUCAAGUAGAAAGGAAACAAAAACAGAAACAAAACAAAACAAAACAAAAGCCUGUAGGGAUUGGCUCUUGCCUGGUUUUCCCAGAUAGAAAUCAUGGCUUGCCCACUGAACAUUGAACAGGAAAAUAGUGAUUCUAGUCUCAAAUAUAUUAAGAAGGAAUCUAUCAGACACAGGGAAAUUGUCCCGUCCAUCUAAUUUUGUUCUGUAACAUACUAUAGUUAUCCCUUAAUGUCUCUAGGAAAUCAAUGCCAUAUUUCCCUUGUGUCCCAAAAUAUGCAAUGCUUAUGUCCCUGAUAUCCAACACUAUAGCAAUUUGCAUACACAGUCUGCAGACAUUGCCCAUUCAAAUCACCUCAGAUCCUUGCCAUGUCAGCUGCAACUGUUGUAUAUAUGGUUGCUGUCCUACAUUAUGAAGGGAAUAAUGAUGAGAGGGAAAAAAAGAACAUCUAGACGUGCAGUACAGAUAAAGAAAAUUUUCAAUCCAAUGUUGGUUGACUUCAUGAUGCAGAAGUGGCAUGGGAGGAACUGUGUCUUCAGCUGAUUACAGAACAUGGUCCCUCCUCCAGGUGGCCAAUGUGCAAAGGGCAGGCCACUAAGUGGCAUCCCCACUAACCUCCUUGUCUUAGUCAGGGUUUGUAUAUAUGGUUACAUCAUGACCAAGAAGCAAGUCAGGGAGGAAAGGGUUUAUUCAGCUUACACUUUCAUAUUGCUGUUCAUCACCAAAGGAAGUCAGGACAGGAACUCACAUAGGGCAGGAACUUGGAGGUGGGAGCUGAUACAGAGGCUAUGGAGGAGUGCUGCUUGCUGGAUUGCUUCCCCUGGCUUGCUCAGCUUGCUUUCUUACAGAACCAGGACUACUGCCCAGGGAUGGCACCACCUACAAUGGCCUGGGCCCUUCCUCCUUGAUCACUAAUUGAGAAAAUGUUUUACAGCUGGAUCUCAUGGAGGCAUUUCCUCAAGGGAGGCUCCUUUCUCUGUGAUAAUUCCAGCUUGUGUUAGAUUGACACACAAAACCAGCCAGCACACUCACUCCUCUUUUAAUCUUGCAUGUUCUCCAUAAUUUUCCAGAGUUUGAGAGGCAGAGAGGACUACAUACAUAAGUUUGAUUCAAUCACUAAACAAUUUUUUGCAUCUGUUUCCUGAUUUGAUAGAAAGGGAAAGUCAGCUGGACUCUCCCAUAGCCUUAAAACACAUUACAAAAUACAGUGGUCUAGGGUUUUAUAGUAUUCAUUUGCAUUUUUUUAAAAAGUACUUUUCAGGGACUGGGGAUGUAACUCACUUGGCAGUGUUUGCCUAGGAUGCAAGAAUUCCUGGGUUCAACACCCAGCAUUGCAUAUACCCAAUGUAGUGGUGAUCAGCAGCCCAUGAGAGCAGAGGCAAAAGAAUCAGAGGUCACAGGUCAUUCUCAACUACUUAACAAGAGAGAAGCCAUUCCAGGGCCAUGAUACCCUGCCUCAAAAUAAAAUAAAUCAAAACCAUCAAUCAUAAAAACUGGUUUUUCCAUGUUUCCCAAUUCUAGUAGUUUCGGUUUUGAGCUGAGAAAACUGAUCUGAACCCAAGACCUCCACUGAUUAUCAACUGCCAUGCGGCAGCACCCAGAGUUUUCCUCCUUUAUCUCUCUAAGGAGCCUUGUGCAGACACCCCAGGACACCCUACCCACUGUCCACCUUGUGCACUGCAGAGGCACAAUGGGUUUCAUCACCUCCCUCUGGUAAGUGUUUGAUGAUGGUACCUUUGAUGUGAGUGCGGAUCACCAAAUCAAAGUGAUGGUUUGUUUAAUGUUUGCCACACAUCCGGGUGAUUCUGAAGCUAACACAGAAGAGGAGGCACAUUACAACAGGGAUUUCUCUCUCUAACCAAUUAAGGUCAUUCAAGAAGUCUCCCAAUUUAAAUAGUUGCCCAAGUAGAGAAUGAGUCUCCCUAGCAACCAUUUACUAAGAAGGCACAUCAGAUGAUUGUGAAGAGACCAAAAAUGCAGACAUAUAAAGUAUGAGCCAGCAAUUACUUGGACAAUGACAGUUUGCAUAGAAGGCACACUUGAGACCUGGCGCUAAGCUGUGUGAUGAAUACCAGUGUUAGGUAUUUACCCUCAGUUUUUCCUCUGAUUACUACACCAAGAAUAAAUUUUCAAAUUCUAACUCUAGUAAGGCACAAUAAUACGAUAGUAAGAUAUGAUUUUGAAAUCACAUUCCUCUCCUCUGAUACUUAAUUCUGUGGCUGUGUAUUUCCAUAGAAGACCAUCAGUUUCCUUUCUGUUUUCCAGAAGAGAAAGCUCUGGGGACAGUCUAGCUCUGCCCAGCCUCAGUGGGUACAGCUCACUGGAUUGGCAGGCUGGGACCUUAACUCUAAAGCACUUGAUCCUCUUUGAGGGAGGUGUUUCUGCAUUCUGCAUUCUGUAUUCUGAGAUGCCUAAGCAACACUGUGAGUUGCAAAGACUUGUGUGAGGGCUUUUCUAGUUGGCUAGAGCUAUGGAUGACUGUGGAGACCAGUUUAGUUCCCUCUAACUUAGGGAAAAGGAUGGAGAAGCCCAUUUCUAGUGCAUGAAGUGUCAAUGCCCACUAAUUUGGUUUUACCUUCAAUAAAGUAGAUAGUUUUGCUUCCAACCAGUUGAUCCUCCCAGAAUGGGAAGAAUGGGAUGUUAUUCAAUGUGGCUGCAAAAUUUUCAUAAUAAUAAGCAAUCAAUAUUGGCCCCCAGGAAGCCCUAUUUAUUCCAUUCACUGGAAAGGAGACCAUCUGUGGAGUAGGUACCACUAGGUCUCUGUCCUGGGAACAUGGAAUGUAGGCAUCUGCAAUUAAUGUUAUUAAUUUUAAUUGUGCACAGAAUCCUUUGAUGUCUGCAGUGCCAUUAUUCUGCCUUACAAAUAAAUAGCACUACCUCUCUGGUAUAAGUUUAGGGAAAGCUAUUUUAGUCCACUUUCUAUUAUCGUCAGGCAGUGGGCUUUACCAGCUCACACAGAACAAAUUUG
rnacentral:lncRNA from 1 species